rnacentral:rRNA from 1 species
ACGAACGCUGGCGGCGUGCUUAACACAUGCAAGUCGAACGGAAAGGCCCCUUUGGGGGUACUCGAGUGGCGAACGGGUGAGUAACACGUGAGUAACCUGCCCUUGACUUCGGGAUAACUUCAGGAAACUGGGGCUAAUACCGGAUAGGAAUCCUUGCUGCAUGGUGGGGGUUUGAAAGCUUCGGCGGUUUUGGAUGGACUCGCGGCUUAUCAGCUUGUUGGUGGGGUAGUGGCUUACCAAGGCUUUGACGGGUAGCCGGCCUGGGAGGGCGACCGGCCACAUUGGGACUGAGAUACGGCCCAGACUCCUACGGGAGGCAGAAGUGGGGAAUAUUGCACAAUGGGCGGAAGCCUGAUGCAGCAACGCCGCGUGCGGGAUGACGGCCUUCGGGUUGUAAACCGCUUUCAGCAGGGGCGAAGCUUGUGGUGACGGUACCUGCAGAAGAAGCACCGGCUAACUACGUG